CCUACGGGGGGCAGCAGUGAGGAAUAUUGGUCAAUGGGCGCGAGCCUGAACCAGCCAAGUAGCGUGAAGGAUGACUGCCCUACGGGUUGUAAACUUCUUUUAUAAAGGAAUAAAGUGAGGCACGUGUGCCUUUUUGUAUGUACUUUAUGAAUAAGGAUCGGCUAACUCCGUGCCAGCAGCCGCGGUAAUACGGAGGAUCCGAGCGUUAUCCGGAUUUAUUGGGUUUAAAGGGAGCGUAGAUGGGUUGUUAAGUCAGCUGUGAAAGUUUGCGGCUCAACCGUAAAAUUGCAAUUGAUACUGGCAGCCUUGAGUACGGUUGACGUAGGCGGAAUUCGUGGUGUAGCGGUGAAAUGCUUAGAUAUCACGAAGAACUCCGAUUGCGAAGGCAGCUUACUAAACUGCCACUGACAUUGAUGCUCGAAGGUGUGGUUAUCAAACAGGAUUAGAUACCCUAGUAGUC
rnacentral:rRNA from 1 species